GGAAAGCUACAAAAGAAUUGGCGUUAUGAGUGGGCUCUGACCGGUAAGCGGUCAUGGCGAAAUGGGAUGAACCAUACGUCAAGAUAAGGUGCCUAAGUAUACCAUCACUGAUACCAUUAAGAGAGUCCAUGUAUUUAGACAGCAGGUCGGUGCCCCUAAAAGUAGGUAUCCGCUAAUGAGUGUGUUAAAACUCCCCUGCCGAAUACUAGGGCCUCGAAAAUGAAUGGCGCAUAUGGUAUCACCGAUACUUGACACUUCUUCGGACGAAGAAGGAGUAGGGGGAUGUGGACAUUUUUGCGAAGGCGUCAUGUGAGUGGCGCUUGAAGAGUGUCUAUUACAGAUCCUAAUUGAAGUAGCGUUUAUCCAGGUUAACAUCCUGGGGGCUGAUGAGGAGUAGGGUUUCUGGGCAACAUAAACUGUCCCAGAGUUAGUCGAUCCUGAUCCCAACAACGGGAGAAAGGGAGUACGGUUGACAUUCCGUAACUGACAACAGGUCGCGGCAACGCUUUCUAUCUUUCUCCGCCGAUUCUAUACCGUUUGGCAGGGAUCUCUUUCCUGUAUGACAAUAGUAAUAUCCGAGGAAUCAGGUCAACUGGGGAUUCGCGAUGUUCUAUUGGCAAAAUGCAGCUUUUGUUGCAUCAUUGGCUAUUGGAUUGGUCCAUGAAGCGAGAGAUAGAUUCCUGUGUCAUUCGUACCGAUGACCGCAUCAGGUCUCCGAGGUGAGUAGCCUAUGGCCAUUGAGGCAUGAUAGUUCAGGGAAUUCGGCCAAUUAGAGCUGUAACUUCGGGAUAAAGCUUGGCUCUGAUGAAAAUCAGAACCGAUUGUUACGAGGAGAGCCCAACUGUUUAAUAAAAACACAGCGUCGCGCUGUUCUCUUAUAGGAAGUUAACGCGACGUGAAUCCUGCUCAGUGCUGUGUCUGUUAAUAUGGUUCAAGCCAACGAAGCACCGGUAAAUAGCUGGGGUAACUAUGACUCUUAUCAAAGUAGCGAAAUACCUCGUCACUUAAUUAGUGACCUGCAUGAACGGAGCAACGAGGUUCUCACUGUCCCAAACUGUCUCUCAGCGAACCAUCUGUAGUGGGAACGGUCACUAACUAUCCAGCGGGGAAAGAAGACCCUGUAGAGCUUCACUUUGGUCUAGUCUUGUAUAGUUCUGGCGGGGGUGCAGACUAGGUGGGAGAGCAAUCGAUUAUGAGAAACCACUACCCUGUUUGGAAUUAUGCUUACCUCCUUGAGGAAUCGGACUAGAUAGAAAGUUUGGCUGGGGCGGCACACCUUCGAAAAUGCAGCGAAGGUGUCCUAAGUUGAGCUCAGUGAGGACAGAAAUCUCACGUUGAGGAUAAGGCCAAAAGCUCAAUUUACUGUGCCUUUUUGUACUAGGACCAGUUUGGAAACAAAGGCCUAACGAUCCCUAAUUAGUCUUAGGUGCGUAAGACUUGGGGUGACAGACAAGUUACCUCCGGGACAACUGGCUUGUGGCUGCUAAGAGAUCAAAUCAACGCAGCUUUUUGAUUCUUCGAUGUCGGCUCUUCCUAUCCUAGUGAUGUACAAGUUACUAAGGGUUGGAUUGUUCACCCGUAUUAGGGAUCGUGAGCUGGGUUUAGACCGUCGUGAGCCAGGUUUGUUUUAUCCUACUGGAUAUACCAUCAUGAUAGUAGUUUGAUUUAGUACGAGAGGAACUGUUGAAUAUGGCCUCUGGUUAGCGGUUUUGGGAAACCGAACGCCGCGCAGCUACGCCGUCUGGGAUAAUGGCUGAAGGCCUCUUAAGCCAGAAACUCAUCUAGAAAAUGAUGGAUUAUGUACGAUCUCCUGCAGAAUAAUUUAUUUUCGUGGAGCAGUACGUAUGGUAACCCAAUGUAGAAGACAUUGUGUCAACGAGGGUCCUGUAAGUGGUGGAGUGGCAUUACGUCCACGACCUAUUGAGGGUCAGCCUUGUUUGUUGGUUUCCAAUAUUUGGAAUA
rnacentral:rRNA from 1 species